GAUGAACGCUGGCGGCGUGGCUAAUACAUGCAAGUCGAGCGAACGGACGAGAAGCUUGCUUCUCUGAUGUUAGCGGCGGACGGGUGAGUAACACGUGGAUAACCUACCUAUAAGACUGGGAUAACUUCGGGAAACCGGAGCUAAUACCGGAUAAUAUUUUGAACCGCAUGGUUCAAAAGUGAAAGACGGUCUUGCUGUCACUUAUAGAUGGAUCCGCGCUGCAUUAGCUAGUUGGUAAGGUAACGGCUUACCAAGGCAACGAUGCAUAGCCGACCUGAGAGGGUGAUCGGCCACACUGGAACUGAGACACGGUCCAGACUCCUACGGGAGGCAGCAGUAGGGAAUCUUCCGCAAUGGGCGAAAGCCUGACGGAGCAACGCCGCGUGAGUGAUGAAGGUCUUCGGAUCGUAAAACUCUGUUAUUAGGGAAGAACAUAUGUGUAAGUAACUGUGCACAUCUUGACGGUACCUAAUCAGAAAGCCACGGCUAACUACGUG
rnacentral:rRNA from 1 species